UGUUUUCAGUUUCCACGCUCAUAGAUUAUUAUAAAUGCAAUUGUAAUAAGCAACAGUUGUUUUAUUCCCCAUUUCUUCAAGAAGGUGAGCGAAGAGGAUGUUUAUACUGUCAUAGAAAAUCAUUGUUUUCAAAUAGGCCUAACCUCAAUUAACUAAAUACAUACAGCUAGUUUCACUGUUUUUUAUUUUAUUUUUUUAUUUUUUUUAAUGAUUAGAAUGUACUGAAAUCCUAUGCAUUAGUAUUUCUGAGAUCUUCUUCAGUUGCUAAAUGUGAGCAGAAUUUACUUUUACAGAUGCUUAUGACUGUUAAUACUGGACAACACAAACACAAUCACAGCUUUUGUUGCUACUAGCUGCUUCUUCACUCAGCAUGUUAAGACGCACAUGAAUUAGUGAUUAUUUCUCAUGCCAUAAAUUGCUUUUAAUAUUUGUCUGUUUUGUAAUAAUCAAGAGAAGUGUUAUCAUCGCUGAAGAAAUGGCAGAUUUUAAUCCUCAGACACCGAGCAGUGCAAGCCCUGAGGAAAUAACACCAUAGACAUCAUCUUCUGACUGAACUAGCAAGGAGAUGUUGCAGUCAAUGAGAAAGCUGGUGGAAUGUAAACCAGAGUAAACUCCGCUACUUUAAUCAUUAUUUCUAAGUUCACUGAGCGAUGUAAAUUGCUGUCAUCCACGUCACAUCAUUGCUCUAACCGACGUUACCUGAAGAAUCCUUUCAGCGUAGAAGAUAUUCACAAGCGUCUGGAGCCAACUUAAAAUGCUGAACUAGAUACUUACUGGGGAGUGAGCUUCAACACUUAAGGUAACUUCAGUUGAGUUGAAAUGCUAGUUGCGUGAUGUUUUCUCAGAUAACUGGACACAGAUCUGACUUUCCCUUUUCUGCAUCCACUGUUGGUUAUACACUUGUGUGUUUUUGGUUUUCUAGGUUUGUACAAAGUUACACACUAAGUUAUUCAGCUCAUUAUUUUGCUAUUUUAAAACAUUAAGUUUGUCUAUACUUAUUCAAUUUUACACUCUAUGUAUAAGUAAAUACCAGUGUAUAAUUUUUCAAAAUGUGGUAAAUAUUUGGAAUACUUGUAUAACAACUGCUGUUAUUUGAUGUAAUAUAGUUUUUUAAUUGUUUUGUAAAUAAAAUGUUUUCAUGCCAACCAGAUCAAGUGAGUUCUUUUCAAAUGGACAUAUAAUUGCUUUUCAUAAUAAUGUGA